rnacentral:rRNA from 1 species
AGUUCGAUUAUGGCUCAGAUUGAACGCUGGCGGGAUGCUUUACACAUGCAAGUCGAACGGCAGCACGGACUUCGGUCUGGUGGCGAGUGGCGAACAGGUGAGUAAUGUAUCGGAACGUGCCUAGUAGCAAGGGGAUAGCUACGCGAAAGCGUAGCUAAUACCGCAUACGCCCUUCGGGGAAAGCGGGGGACCUUCGGGCCUCGCGCACUGUGGAAACGGCCGAUAUCCGGAUUAGCUAGUUGGUGAGUAACGGCCGCAGAGGCGAUCCGUAGCUGGUUUGAAGGACGACCAGCCACACUGGGACUGAGACACGGCCCAGACUCCUACAGGAGGCAGCAGUGGGAAUUUUUUUGGACAAUGGAAACCACCAGUCCAGCCAUCCCGCGUGUGCGAUGAAGGCCCUUCCCGGGUUGUAAAGCACUUUUGGCAGGAAAGAAACGGCACGGGAUAAUACCCCGUGCAACUGAUGGUACCUGCAGAAUAAGCACCGGCUAACUACGUGCCAGCAACCGCGGUAAUACGUAGGAGUGCAAGCGUUAAUCGGAAUUACUGGGCGUAAAGCGUGCGCAGGCGGUUCGGAAAGAAAGAUGUGAAAUCCCAGAGCUUAACUUUGGAACUGCAUUUUUAACUACCGAGCUAGAACUGUCCAGAGGGAGGUGGAAUUCCGCGAUGUAGCAGUGAAUGCGUAGAUAUGCGGAGGAACACCGAUGGCGAAGGCAGCCUCCUGGGAUAACACUGACGCUCAUGCACGAAAGCGUGGGAGCAAACAGGAUUAAACCACCCUGGUAGUCCACGCCCUAAACGAUGUCAACUAGCUGUUGCGGACUGGGCCUUGGUAGCGCAGCUAACGCGUGAAGUUGACCGCCUGGGGAGUACGGUCGCAAGAUUAAAACUCAAAGGAAUUGACGGGGACCCGCACAAGCGGUGGAUGAUGUGGAUUAAUUCGAUGCAACGCGAAAAACCUUACCUACCCUUGACAUGUGUCUGGAAUCCCGAAGAGAUUUGGGAGUGCUCGCAAGAGAACCGUUCCACGGGUGCUGCAUGGCUGUCGUCGGCUCGUGUCGUGAGAUGUUGGGUUAAGUCCCGCAACGAGCGCAACCCUUGUCAUUAGUUGCUACGAAAGGGCACUCUAAUGAGACUGCCGGUGACAAACCGGAGGAAGGUGGGGAUGACGUCAAGUCCUCAUGGCCCUUAUGGGUAGGGCUUCACACGUCAUACAAUGGUCAGGACAGAGGGUCGCCAACCCCGCAGAGGCCAAUCCCAGAAACCCGAUCGUAGUCCGGAUCGCAGUCUGCAACUCGACUUCGAAACAGUCCGGAAUCGCUAGUAAUCGCGGAUCAGCAUGUCGCGGUGAAUACGUUCCCGGGUCUUGUACACCGCCCGUCACACCAUGGGAGUGGGUUUUACAGAAGUAGUUAGCCUAACCGUAAAGGAGGGCGAUUACCACGGCAGGAUUCAUGACUGGGGUGAAGUCAUGUCGAGGUAG